UACGUAGGGUGCAAGCGUUAAUCGGAAUUAUUGGGCGUAAAGCGUGCGUAGGCGGUUUUAUAAGAUAGAUGUGAAAUCCUUGGGCUCAACCUGGGAACUGCAUUUGUGACUGUAGAGCUGGAGUGCGGCAGAGGGGGAUGGAAUUCUGUGUGUAGCAGUGAAAUGCGUAGAUAUGCGGAGGAAUACCGAUGGCGAAGGCAAUCUCCUGGACCUGUACUGACGCUCAUGCACGAAAGCGUGGGGAGCAAACAGG
rnacentral:rRNA from 1 species